rnacentral:rRNA from 1 species
AGUGAACGUUGGCGGCGUGGAUUAGGCAUGCAAGUCGAGCGAGAACCGUAGCAAUACGGGGACAGCGGCGAAAGGGACAGUAAUGUGUAGGUACCUACCCCGAGGUCUGGGAUAGCUGCGGGAAACUGCAGGUAAUACCGGAUAAUGUCUUCGGACCAAAGGUGUGAUUCCACCUUGGGAGGGGCCUGCAUCCUAUUAGCUAGUUGGCGGGGUAAUGGCCCACCAAGGCGACGAUGGGUAGCGGGUGUGAGAGCACGACCCGCGUCAUUGGGACUGAGAUACUGCCCAGACACCUACGGGUGGCUGCAGUCGAGGAUCUUCGGCAAUGGGCGAAAGCCUGACCGAGCGACGCCGCGUGCGGGAUGAAGGCCCUCGGGUUGUAAACCGCUGUCGUAGAGGAGGAAAUGCAGGUGGGUUCUCCCAUCUGUUUGACCUAUUCUAGGAGGAAGUACGGGCUAAGUUCGUGCCAGCCGCCGCAGUAA